CAGCCGCCACGGUAAUACAGAGGUGCCAAGCGUUAGGCGGAAUCACUGGGCUUAAAGCGUGUGUAGGCGGAUGCCUAAGUACCUUGUGAAAUCCCACGGCUUAACCGUGGAACUGCUCGGUAUACUGGGUGUCUUGAGCUGUCUAGGGGCUACCGGAACAAAUGGUGGAGCGGUGAAAUGCGUAGAUAUCAUUUGGAACGCCAAUGGUGAAAACAGGUAGCUGGGGACAUGCUGACGCUGAGACACGAAAGCUAGGGGAGCAAACGGGAUUAGAUACCCCGGUAGUCCCUGUCUCUUAUAC
rnacentral:rRNA from 1 species